rnacentral:rRNA from 1 species
CUUUUUGAGAGUUUGAUCCUAGCUCAGGAUGAACGCUGGCGGCGUGGAUAAGGCAUGCAAGUCGUACGGUCGUGCCUCUCUAUCGCUCAGCACUCCCUAAGCUCAAAGUGUAAAACGAAAAGUUCAAAACUAAUGUGAAAUAAUUUCAACAAAGUUGAAAUUAUUAUUCCUCAGUUUUACGUUUUUAUUUUUGAGUUUUUAGUUUGAGUGCCGAACGGCAGUGAGGCACGACAGUGGCAGACGGGGUAGUAACACGUAGGUACAUACCACUGAGACAAGAAUAACCCAGAGAAAUCUGGGAUAAUACUUGAUAGUCUAGUGAUCGAUUUUCCCUCACAAGAUGUUUUAAUUUUUAAUUCUCAAUUAUCAAUUUUCAAUAAAAAUUUGGAAAUUGAAACUUUCUCGCCUCGCCGUAGCUUUAGCGAAGCGGAAACAUUGUCCGCCAGAGGCGGAUCCUCCUCCGGAGGAAAAAUUCAAAACAGUCCUUGCGGGUAAAAAUCGGUUACUAGUAAAGGUUCGUAAGAACCGCUCGGUGAAUGGCCUGCGGGCUAUCAGCUUGUUGGUGAGGUAACGGCUCACCAAGGCUAUGACGGCUAGGGGGUGUGAGAGCAUGGCCCCCACCAAUGGAACUGAGACACGGUCCAUACAUCUACGGAUGGCUGCAGUCGAGAAUAUUGGGCAAUGGGCGAAAGCCUGACCCAGCGACGCCGCGUGCAGGAUGAAGGCCUUCGGGCUGUAAACUGCUUUUAUGGGGGAGGAAUCCCCUCCUUGAGGUUGAGUGUGGUACAAUCACGCUAUGUAUUAUGUAUAUAUCCUGAAAUUAAAUAAUGAAAAAUUAUACAUCGGAUACACUGUGGAUUUAAAAAGGCGUAUUGUUGAACACGAAACAGGAAUGAGUAUGCAUACUAAAAAAUUUUUACCUUGCAUGCUUGUUUAUUAUGAAGCAUACAAAUCACGAAAAGAUGCGAUGAAGCGUGAGAAAAAUCUAAAAAAAUUCAAAAGUUCAUACAGACAAUUAAAAAUACGUAUUGCUUCAAGUAUAUUCGACACCAAGGAGGGGAUGACGUUACCCCAUGAAUAAGGGCUUGCUAACCUCGUGCCAGCAGCCGCGGUAAUACGAGGGGCCCAAGCGUUAUCCGGAAUCACUGGGCGUAAAGGGUUCGUAGGGGGUUGUAUUAGUCCUAUGUUAAAGCCUUCGGCUUAACCGAAGAAAUGCAUAGGAAACGGUAUAACUGGAGGGUGUGAGAGGCUGAUGGAACUCACGGUGUAGGGGUGAAAUCCGUUGAUAUCGUGGGGAACACCAAAUGCGAAGGCAAUCAGCUGGCGCAUUCCUGACCCUGAAGAACGAAAGCGUGGGGAUCGAAAAGGAUUAGAUACCCUUGUAGUCCACGCCCUAAACGUUGAUGACUAGCUAUUGGAAGUAUCGACCCUUCCAGUGGCGUAGCUAACGCGUUAAGUCAUCCGCCUGGGAAUUACGAUCGCAAGAUUAAAACUCAAAGGAAUAGACGGGGACUCGCACAAGCGGUGGAGCAUGUGGUUCAAUUCGAUGAUAAGCGAAAAACCUUACCAGGGCUAGAAAUUCUAGUGAAGUCGACCCGAAAGGGACGAUGUCUCACAAGGACACUAGGACAGGUGCUGCAUGGUUGUCGUCAGUUCGUGGUUUGAACUGUUCCCUUAAGUGGGUCAACGAACGCAACCCCCGUUGCCUGUUAUACAUGUCAGGCAAGACUGCCCCUCACUUUGCGCACAAGCGCAAAGUGAGUUUACUAGUUACGCCUUGCUCUAGUUUGCUAGUUUAAAUUUUACAACUAGAAAACUAAAGUGAGCAGAGCGAACGUAACUAGAAAACUCACUUUGUUCGUUUGCGAACAAAGUGAGGGGAGGAAGGUGGGGAUGACGCCAAAUCAGCAUGGCCCUCGACGUCCUGGGCUACACACAUGCUACAAUGGCACGUACAAAGGGCCGCAAAAGAGCAAUCUGGAGCAAAUCCCAUCAAAACGUGCCCUAGUUCGGAUUGAGGUCUGCAACUUGACCUCAUGAAGCUGGAAUCGCUAGUAAUCGCAGAUCAGCACGCUGCGGUGAAUACGUUCUCGAGUCUUGUACUCACCGCCCGUCAAGUCAGGGAAGUCGGGAGUACCCGAAGUGCCAGGUAUCUGGCCCGAAGGUAAGCUCGAUAACAAGGACUAAGUCGUAACAAGGCACGGCUAGCGGAAGCUGGUCGUGGAUCAUUAUCUAA